CCAGAGUCCAGUUCAGCCCAGGAUGAACAAUACGUGGAGGUCACCCUGGAUCUCCGCGAUGAUUCUGUGGCUGUCCACAGUGUGAAAGCAGCAAAUGGUAUGGAAGAAGAUCCAGAAGUGUCACUACUUGCCAAAGGUCUGGAGAAAAGAUCUACCUCAAAAGUUAUGAGGAAUGCUUCUGCCAGGAUCAGGCAGGUUUCCCAGGAAUUAAAGCGAAUUACUUCAUUCUCCAAGAGACCUCCUCCUCCGGGUCGCCUCGACAGGAACAAAUCUGCGGCUGCUCAUGCUUUGAAAGGACUUAAGUUUAUCAGCAAGACUGAUGGAGGUGCAGGGUGGGCCGCCGUGGAGAAGCGGUUCCAUGAAAUUACUUCUUCCACGGAUGGGUUGCUUCCCCGCUCACGAUUCUGUGAAUGCAUAGGAAUGAAGGAAUCUAAGGAAUUCGCAGGGGAGUUGUUUGAUGCACUUGCAAGGAAGAGGAAUAUAGAAGGUGAUUCAAUCAGUAUGGCUGAGUUGCAGGAAUUCUGGGAACAGAUUUCCGACCAGAGCUUCGAUUCCAGGCUUCAAACUUUCUUUGACAUGGUUGAUAAAGAUGCGGAUGGUAGAAUCACAGAAGAGGAAGUCAGAGAGAUUAUUACCCUUAGCGCUUCUGCAAAUAAACUCUCAAACAUCCAAAAACAAGCAGAGGAGUAUGCAGCCUUGAUCAUGGAAGAGCUGGAUCCAGAAAAUCAUGGAUAUAUCAUGAUAGAGAACCUGGAAAUGCUUCUAUUGCAAGGACCAAACCAAUCUGUAAGAGUAGGAGAGAGCAAAAACCUGAGCAAAAUGCUUAGCCAGAAGCUUAAGCCAACACUGGAUGACAACCCAAUAACGAGAUGGUGUAGAAGCAUCAAGUAUUUCAUUUUAGACAACUGGCAGAGAGUGUGGGUGAUAGCUCUUUGGAUUGGGGUUAUG
rnacentral:misc_RNA from 1 species